GACGAACGCUGGCGGCAUGCCUAACACAUGCAAGUCGAACGAGAAAGUUCCUUCGGGAGCAAUUAAAGUGGCGCACGGGUGAGUAACGCGUAGACAAUCUGCCCUUCAGUCUGGGACAACUUUUCGAAAGGAGAGCUAAUACCGGAUAACAAUGCAUGACACAAGUUAUAUAUUUGAAAGCUUUAUGUGCUGAAGGAGGGGUCUGCGUCCCAUUAGCUAGUUGGUAAGGUAAAGGCUUACCAAGGCAACGAUGGGUAGCGGGUUUGAGAGGACGAUCCGCCACACUGGAACUGAGACACGGUCCAGACUCCUACGGGAGGCAGCAGUGGGGAAUAUUGCACAAUGGAGGCAACUCUGAUGCAGCAAUGUCGCGUGAGUGAAGAAGGCCCUUGGGUCGUAAAGCUCUUUUAUGGGGGAAGAUGAUGACGGUACCCCAAGAAUAAGCACCGGCUAACUAUGUGCCAGCAGCCGCGGUAAUACAUAGGGUGCGAGCGUUGUUCGGAAUUACUGGGCGUAAAGGGCGCGCAGGCGGAAUAGUAAGUCGGAGGUGAAAGCCCGGGGCUCAACCCCGGAGGGUCUUUCGAAACUACUAAUCUAGAGAGGGUCAGGGGCCGGCAGAAUUCCUGGUGUAGAGGUGAAAUUCGUAGAUAUCAGGAGGAAUACCGGUGGCGAAGGCGGCCGGCUGGGGCCACUCUGACGCUGAGGCGCGAAAGCGUGGGGAGCAAACAGGAUUAGAUACCCUGGUAGUCCACGCCGUAAACGAUGAGCACUGGACGUCCGGAGGGUUCGACCCUUCUGGGUGUCUCAGCUAACGCAUUAAGUGCUCCGCCUGGGGAGUACGGUCGCAAGACUAAAACUCAAAGGAAUUGACGGGGGCCCGCACAAGCGGUGGAACAUGUGGUUUAAUUCGAUGCAACGCGAA
rnacentral:rRNA from 1 species